GCCUGCAUAGUGUAGUGGUUCAAGCAUUGGACUAUGACUCUGGAGACCAGGGUUCAAAUCCCUGCUCAGCCA